rnacentral:misc_RNA from 1 species
GUGAAUCAUCAAAUUUUUGAACGCAAAUUGCACUCUCCUCUGAGAGUAUGGCUGUUUGAGUGUCAGCCUAUAAUAAAUCCACAUCGUUGCUGUUGCGCGGGGGCGUUCGGCGGCAAGUGGGUCAUAUUAAAUCCUUUUGAUUUAAGCGACUUAAAAUUUUCUGUUGUUUCCAUGAACGUUUCUGAGAUCUAUUGCUUUACACGUUUAAGGUAUCGAUUUUUACUAGACGUGACCAGCAUAGCGAAGCGCGUCCAUAAUCUUUCAUUAAC